rnacentral:tRNA from 1 species
GCCCCGGUAGCUCAGUUGGUAGAGCGGCUGAAUUGCGAGCAGUAGGUCGCGAGUUCAAAUCUCGCCCGGGGCU